rnacentral:rRNA from 1 species
GCGGAAUGCUUUACACAUGCAAGUCGAGCGGCAGCGCGGGGCAACCUGGCGGCGAGCGGCGAACGGGUGAGUAAUGCAUCGGAACGUGUCCUAUCGUGGGGGAUAGCCCGGCGAAAGCCGGAUUAAUACCGCAUACGCCCUUAGGGGGAAAGCGGGGGACUUCGCAAGGAGCCUCGCGCGAUUGGGUCGGCCGAUGUCCGAUUAGCUAGUUGGUGGGGUAAAGGCCUACCAAGGCGAUGAUCGGUAGCUGGUCUGAGAGGAUGAUCAGCCACACUGGGACUGAGACACGGCCCAGACUCCUACGGGAGGCAGCAGUGGGGAAUUUUGGACAAUGGGGGCAACCCUGAUCCAGCCAUUCCGCGUGAGUGAAGAGGGCCUUCGGGUUGUAAAGCUCUUUUGUCCGGAGCGAAACGGGUGGUGUGAAUAGCGCCAUCUACUGACGGUACCGGAAGAAUAAGCACCGGCUAACUACGUGCCAGCAGCCGCGGUAAUACGUAGGGUGCGAGCGUUAAUCGGAAUUACUGGGCGUAAAGCGUGCGCAGGCGGUUUUGU